rnacentral:rRNA from 1 species
CCUACGGGAGGCAACAGUGAGGAAUAUUGGUCAAUGGACGAGAGUCUGAACCAGCCAAGUAGCGUGAAGGAUGACUGCCCUAUGGGUUGUAAACUUCUUUUAUAUGGGAAUAAAAUGUUCCACGUGUGGGAUUUUGUAUGUACCAUAUGAAUAAGGAUCGGCUAACUCCGUGCCAGCAGCCGCGGUAAUACGGAGGAUCCGAGCGUUAUCCGGAUUUAUUGGGUUUAAAGGGAGCGUAGGUGGAUUGUUAAGUCAGUUGUGAAAGUUUGCGGCUCAACCGUAAAAUUGCAGUUGAAACUGGCAGUCUUGAGUACAGUAGAGGUGGGCGGAAUUCGUGGUGUAGCGGUGAAAUGCUUAGAUAUCACGAAGAACUCCGAUUGCGAAGGCAGUUCACUGGACUGCAACUGACACUGAGGCUCGAAAGUGUGGGUAUCAAACAGGAUUAGAUACCCGUGUAGUC